rnacentral:tRNA from 1 species
CUGAUCGUCGCGGAUGGGAAAGGCGUAGGCCUCGAAGGCCUGCACGGCGGCGCCGCUGGGUUCGGGGCCUUGCUGCCAGUC